CCUACGGGAGGCAGCAGUGAGGAAUAUUGGACAAUGGGCGCAAGCCUGAUCCAGCCAUGCCGCGUGCAGGAAGACGCAUCUAUGGUGUGUAAACUGCUUUUGUACGGGAAGAAACACUCCUUCGUGAAGGAGCUUGACGGUACCGUAAGAAUAAGGAUCGGCUAACUCCGUGCCAGCAGCCGCGGUAAUACGGAGGAUCCAAGCGUUAUCCGGAAUCAUUGGGUUUAAAGGGUCCGUAGGCGGUUUAAUAAGUCAGUGGUGAAAUCUGGUCGCCCAACGAUCAAACGGCCAUUGAUACUGUUAGACUUGAAUUACUAGGAAGUAACUAGAAUAUGUAGUGUAGCGGUGAAAUGCUUAGAUAUUACAUGGAAUACCAAUUGCGAAGGCAGGUUACUACUAGUGGAUUGACGCUGAUGGACGAAAGCGUGGGGAGCGAACAGGAUUAGAUACCCUGGUAGUCCACGCCGUAAACGAUGGAUACUAGCUGUUGGGCGCAAGUUCAGUGGCUAGGCGAAAGUGAUAAGUAUCCACCUGGGGAGUACGUUCGCAAGAAUGAAACUCAAAUGAAAUUGACGGCUGAGAGAGCGAGACGACGACGAGGGAGGAGG
rnacentral:rRNA from 1 species